GCCAUAGUAAUAUAGUGGUAGUAUAUCAGUUUGUGGACUCAGCGAAGCACUGACGGCCGAGGUUCGAUUCCUCGCUAUGGCA
rfam:Trichoderma virens Gv29-8 TRIVIscaffold_84, whole genome shotgun sequence.